rnacentral:piRNA from 1 species
UGAUGCCUCUUCCAGAAAAAACA